GCAUUGGAUUGAGAACAACGUACAAACCUUAUCGAUAAACAAUUGGAGGGCAAGUCUGGUGCCAGCAGCCGCGGUAAUUCCAGCUCCAAUAGCGUAUAUUAACGUUGUUGCAGUUAAAAAGCUCGUAGUUGAAAUGAAGGGUAGUUGUGUAAUGAAUACAUUCGUGUAUUUUGUUAUUCUACUACCCUCCUUCUAAAUUCGAUAUAUGAGUAUUAAUUUACUUGUAUAUGGUUUUAGACCUUUACUGUGAGAAAAUUAGAGUGUUCAAAGCAGGCAUUUGCUUGAAUAUAUUAGCAUGGAAUAAUCAUGUAUGAUUUUCAUGAUGUAUUUGAUUGGUUUGGUUCAUGAGAAUAAGAUUAAAAGGGACAGUUGGGGGUAUUCAUAUUCAAUAGUCAGAGGUGAAAUUCUCGGAUUUAUGGAAGAUGAACAAGUGCGAAAGCAUUUACCAAGGAUGUUUUCAUUAAUCAAGAACGAAAGUUAGGGGAUCGAAGAGGAUUAGAUACCCUCG
rnacentral:rRNA from 1 species